rnacentral:tRNA from 1 species
UCUGAAAUGGCAGAAUAGUGCUAUAGAUUUAAGAUCUGUCCAAAAAGGUUCAAACCCUUUUUUCAGAA